AGUGAACGCGGCGGCGUGCCUAAUACAUGCAAGUCGAACGGAGAUUAAGUAGCAUGCUAUUUAAUCUUAGUGGCGCACGGGUGAGUAAUAUAUAGCUAAUCUGCCCUACACUAGAGGACAACAGUUGGAAACGACUGCUAAUACUCUAUACUCCUUCUUUACAUAAGUUAAGUCGGGAAAGUUAUUCGGUGCAGGAUGAGGCUAUAUCGUAUCAGCUAGUUGGUAGGGUAACGGCCUACCAAGGCUAUGACGCGUAACUGGUCUGAGAGGAUGAUCAGUCACACUGGAACUGAGACACGGUCCAGACUCCUACGGGAGGCAGCAGUAGGGAAUAUUGCUCAAUGGGGGAAACCCUGAAGCAGCAACGCCGCGUGGAGGAUGACACUUUUCGGAGCGUAAACUCCUUUUCUUGGGAAAGAAUUAUGACGGUACCCAAGGAAUAAGCACCGGCUAACUCCGUGCCAGCAGCCGCGGUAAUACGGAGGGUGCAAGCGUUACUCGGAAUCACUGGGCGUAAAGGACGCGUAGGCGGAUUAUCAAGUCUCUUGUGAAAUCUAACGGCUUAACCGUUAAACUGCUUGAGAAACUGAUAAUCUAGAGUAAGGGAGAGGCAGAUGGAAUUCUUGGUGUAGGGGUAAAAUCCGUAGAGAUCAAGAAGAAUACCCAUUGCGAAAGCGAUCUGCUGGAACUUAACUGACGCUAAUGCGUGAAAGCGUGGGGAGCAAACAGG
rnacentral:rRNA from 1 species